GUCUAUGGCCAUGCCCCCCUGAACACGCCCAAUGCCAUCUAAUCUUGGAAGCUAAGCAGGGUCGGGCCUGGUUAGUACUCGAAUGGGAGACCACCUAGGAAGACCAGGUGCUGUAGGCG
rnacentral:rRNA from 1 species